rnacentral:misc_RNA from 1 species
UCUCCGUUGGUGAACCAGCGGAGGGAUCAUUACCGAGUUUACAACUCCCAAACCCCUGUGAACUUAUACCUUUACUGUUGCUUCGGCGGGUUAUUGCCCCGGGGGAAACAGGCGGCCGUCAGGUCCCUGCCCACCCGGAAACAGGCGCCCGCCGGGGGACUCAAACUCUUCUGUAUUUUUUUGUUUACUGUAUACUGUCUGAGUAAAAAUUCAUAAUGAAUCAAAACUUUCAACAACGGAUCUCUUGGUUCUG